UGGGGAAUAUUGCACAAUGGGCGGAAGCCUGAUGCAGCGACGCCGCGUGGGGGAUGAAGGCCUUCGGGUUGUAAACUCCUUUCGACAGGGACGAAGCGUAAGUGACGGUACCUGUAUAAGAAGCACCGGCUAACUACGUGCCAGCAGCCGCGGUAAUACGUAGGGUGCGAGCGUUGUCCGGAAUUACUGGGCGUAAAGAGCUCGUAGGUGGUUUGUCGCGUCGUCUGUGAAAUUCCGGGGCUUAACUCCGGGCGUGCAGGCGAUACGGGCUGACUUGAGUGCUGUAGGGGAGACUGGAAUUCCUGGUGUAGCGGUGAAAUGCGCAGAUAUCAGGAGGAAUACCGAUGGCGAAGGCAGGUCUCUGGGCAGUAACUGACGCUGAGGAGCGAAAGCAUGGGUAGCGAACAGGAUUAGAUACCCUGGUAGUCCAUGCCGUAAACGGUGGGCGCUAGGUGUAGGGGGCUUCCAUGUCUUCUGUGCCGUAGCUAACGCAUUAAGCGCCCCGCCUGGGGAGUACGGCCGCAAGGCUA
rnacentral:rRNA from 1 species